AGAUUCUUAAAAACCCAGGGAGGAACUCUCAGCAUUUCAGUGAUGACCUCUGUAACCAAGAGUACACAAAUAAAGAACGAUAAAGUAAAUGAAGCUCCAUUAGCACUGAAAACCAGUGAGGUGAGGAAGAUCCAUUCUACGGUUAGAAGGUCUUAAUCACAACUGUGUCAUGUCUACAGUUAUUUUUGCAAGAUGCGGCACAGGACACCCUAUGGGCAGCUUAUGCUGGCACCCUAGAGGAUAAUAUCCCGGCAGAUGGCUUCUCAACAAAUUCUUCAGCAUGGUGUCUUCUCAGGGAUGGCUUCCCUACACCAGAGGACAGAGUCUUCACAGCACUACUGCAAGGUCUCCACCAUCCAGUGGGUCAUGGCUGCGGAGUCUCCAGUGAAGUCUGCAUCUCAUGGGCAGGGAAGAGGAGGGUAGGGUCUUCCAAAUGUGUUUCUUCCUUGGACGCUCCACCUCAGCCCUAGAGGGGGGCUUCUCCCCACGUCUGCUAUUACUCUUCCUUUCCUUAUGUUUUCUUUACUCCUUAGUAGGUUAUAGUUAAUACUGUUAUAGUUAAUACUUCUUUAUAUUAAACUUCCUUUGUUUCCA